GGUGAACGCUGGCGGCGUGCUUAAGACAUGCAAGUCGAACGCAGUCUUCGGACUGAGUGGCGCACGGGUGAGUAACACGUAACUGACCUACCCCCAAGUCGCGGAUAACUGGCCGAAAGGUCAGCUAAUACGUGAUGUGAUGUCCCCUUUCUGGGGGGCCAUUAAAGGUUUACUGCUUGGGGAUGGGGUUGCGUUCCAUCAGCUAGUUGGCGGGGUAAAGGCCCACCAAGGCAGCGACGGAUAGCCGGCCGGAGAGGGUGGCCGGCCACAGGGGCACUGGGACACGGGUCCCACUCCUACGGGAGGCAGCAGUUAGGAAUCUUCCACAAUGGGCGAAAGCCUGAUGGAGCGACGCCGCGUGAGGGAUGAAGGUUCUCGGAUCGUAAACCUCUGAAUCAGGGACGAAAGACGCGUAAGCGGGAUGACGGUACCUGAGUAAUAGCACCGGCUAACUCCGUGCCAGCCGCCGCCGUAA
rnacentral:rRNA from 1 species